rnacentral:rRNA from 1 species
UACGUAGGGGGCAAGCGUUGUCCGGAUUUACUGGGCGUAAAGAGCGCGCAGGCGGUCGUACAAGUCGCGUGUGAAAGCCCCCGGCUCAACUGGGGAGGGUCACGCGAUACUGUUCGACUCGAAGGCAGGAGAGGGAAGUGGAAUUCCCGGUGUAGUGGUGAAAUGCGUAGAUAUCGGGAGGAACACCAGUGGCGAAGGCGACUUCCUGGCCUGUUCUUGACGCUGAGGCGCGAAAGCUAGGGUAGCAAACGGG